AACCCUUCGGGGUUAGCGGCGGACGGGUGAGUCAACACGUGGGCAACCUACCUUGUAGAUGGGGAUAACAUCGAGAAAUCGGUGCUAAUACCGAAUAACACUUUUCUCCACAUGGAGGAAGGUUAAAAGUUGGCUUUUGCUAACACUACAAGAUGGGCCCGCGGCGCAUUAGCUAGUUGGUGAGGUAACGGCUCACCAAGGCGACGAUGCGUAGCCGACCUGAGAGGGUGAUCGGCCACACUGGGACUGAGACACGGCCCAGACUCUUACGGGANNNNNNNGGGGGGCNCCUCUCUCUCUGGUGCUCUACCGAUUGUUGCGAUAAAAGUCCACCACACACGGACCAUCCAUCACGGGCGCCGAAAUCCGCUACGUUCCUACACUGCUUCGUUUAAAAAAUCAGACUAUGAUCCGUAUUCGCCGGGGGGAAAACACACAUACAGACCCGAUGAUAUCUAGUUAAGUCAUUCCGUGAACCGCUCCGUACGUUUGACGAAGAGUGCUCACCCCACACUCGUUAUGCAAUAUACUUAAUCUCAACUCAACAAACAAGAAAAAGUCAAUAAUAGAAUAAAUAUAAUGUAAGAAUAAAAUAUAUCUCACUCCGCCGGUCCACUCACCCCCCUCCUCUUUUGCACGGCUCCGCCACGUACCAAGCACAGCAACUCACAGAGACACAGCACACACCCACACAACCUACACGCCCACACCCCCACACAC
rnacentral:misc_RNA from 1 species